ACACACUGUCUCUAACACAAACACACACCUCACACCUCGGCGACGCAGCUAGAGAUUAGGGUUCAAGCUGAAGCUGGAGAUUAGGGUUCAAGUUGAAGCUCGUUUCUUCAAUUAGGGGUCUGAGUGGGGUGCAAUCAUUGGGGAUUAUCAAAUCGAGCUCAAUUAGGGAUAUUAUCAGGGGUCUGAUUGGGGUGCAGUCAAUUGGGUAUUCUUAAAUCGAGCUCAAUUAGCGAUAUUAUCAGAGAAUUUGAUAGCUGAUGAGUUCUCUGCUGAGAUUGCUGAUGGUGUGGCUUAUGUUUCCGGCUACGAUGAUGAAUCCAGGCCUGUCUUGAUUUUCCGAAUCAAGCAAGACUGUCACAAGUUUCAUUCACAGAAGAUGUUGGCUCGACUGGUGGUGUUUACACCGGAGGUUGCAAUACAAAUCAUGGAAAAAAAUGUGGAGCAAUUUGUCGAAGUUAACUAUUUAACUAUAGUAUUAGACUUUGAAGUAGUAUAUGUUUUUGGUUGGAUGAUUGGUUUGUGUGUAUUUGAUGGGAUGAUUUGGUAUUGAUGAAAUUAUAAUAUCAAGUUAUUUUAUUU